GACGAACGCUGGCGGCGCGCUUAACACAUGCAAGUCGAACGGAAAGGCCUGCUUUCCCUUGUGGAUUGCGGGUACUCGCGUGGCGAACGGGUGAGUAACACGUGAGUGAUCUGCCCCCAACUUGGGUAUAAGCCUGGGAAACUGGGUCUAAUUCCCGAUAGGACUGCAGGGUGGUGCCUGUGGUGGAAAACGAUUUUCUAGUGGUUGGGGAUGAGCUCGCGGCCUAUCAGCUUGUUGGUGGGGUAAUGGCCUACCAAGGCGGGGACGGGUAGCCGGCCUGGGAGGGUGGACGGGCACAGUGGGACUGAGAUACGGCGCAGACGACUACGGGAGGCAGCAGUGGGGAAGAUGGCACAAUGGGCGGAAGCCUGAGGCAGCGACGCCGCGUGGGGGAUGACGGCCUUCGGGUGGUAAACUCCUUUCGACCGCGAGGAAGCCACCUGGUUGGAAGGGUGGUGACGGUAGUGGUAGAAGAAGCACCGGCUAACUACGUG
rnacentral:rRNA from 1 species